AGAUUUUUAUAAGGCCAACAUUGGGAAAUUUGUUCACUUUUCCUGUGAAAAGGACCCUGCUACUACGCAGUGUGGCUAUAGAAAGGGACCCUUGCCUACACUGAGAGAGGAAAAAAAAAAAAGAGGCAAUUCUUCUAUACUACUGUGAUAUCCUUGGGUUUUCAGGUCAAAUAAUCUCACAGUUUUCACCCAUUGUGACAAAGGAUGCAAUUGGGAGGAUGAAGCAUCUUGAAAAUGGUAGGAACCAGCUCAUUGGCAUGUCUCUUCCAUCCCUUGCAUUCAUGGCUUGAUCCUAUGACUGCUGAAUAAUGACGUUUCUGAAAUUGUCAAGUGAGCUUUGUUGGGGUCAGCUGGUUGGUUGUCAUUAUUUUGCAGUCAGCCUAGCCUCUCCCAUGAGGACCUCAUGAGCCUAAGCACAAUCGUCACUAGAUGGUAAUAACAAUACCUUUGGGUGGGGGGGAAAGGUUAUCGGGAAGGCGCCAAGGUCUUUGCUCUUUGAAUUCACAUCUUUCAUAAGCACUGUUUUGCCUGGUGAUUUUCAUUGCUUGCUUAGUAUUGAGUUUGACCCAACAAUCUCUAUACCGUGAGGUUUCUUUAGCACCGGGUGAUCUGUGUCACAUCGCAUACCUAGUGUUGUGCUUGCUGCAAUAACGUCCUUUCCGAGCGCCUGACCACUCAAAAGUUUUCUUGUAUUUCAUAGUGUCUUUACUUAUUGCCAGGGAAGUGGGUAUGAUCUCUAAAGUGUAAAAUCAUUUCUAGAGAGAAAAGUUCUUUAUAAAUUACUCAUGUCAUCCUGAAAUUUCGCUAUCAGAAUUUCCCCCAGAAGUUCUGAAAUAAAGGCUAUGCAGUAUAGCCAUAAAAUAUGCACUGAAAUAUCUUGAUUUGAGAAUCUGCGCUAAGUUGUGAUUUAAAGUAUCAAAAGUGUAUUUUAAAAGAAACUAGAAGGCCCUCUAGUAGAGAUCCUAAAAGAAAAAUUAAUAGCACAAUCCAUGAGAGUUGGGGGAGGGAGAAACAGUAAACUUUAGGAGCUGGCUCUGCUCUUUAGACCAUUGGGUACCUAACUGAAGUAUAUUUAUUGAUGCAUCAUCGUGGUUUUGACCUUACAGUACAAUAUUUCAUAAAUUGCAUCAAUUUUACUUUAUUUGUUGAAAAUCUAUGCUAGUCUUUGAGUUGGACAAAAGCCUAUAGCUUCUUUUAAAAAGUUUCAUGUUCAGCUAAAUGUUAGAGUUUAAAUGUAUGAAACAUAAUUAUGAACACAUUUUUUCUGUUCAACUUUGACAUCCAUAUUAUGCAUUGUUAUAAUUUAGGUUUGCAAAACUAUACAAAUAAAGUACGUUUUAGGAAUUUUUUUGUCUUAUAAGUCAGAAUUAUAAACUCAUCUUGCCUAAAAGUAGAAUCUUUGUUUUUUAGUCAGAUAUUUUGAAAGUUUAGAAGAAUUUUUUAUGCUGCUUUUACUAUUUCUCAAAUGCAGUCAGCAGGAAAGUAUGACCUUUGUCAUACUUUUAUGUGAAAUGUCUGAGGACAUUUUAAAUUAUAGAAAAAAGUAAUUUUUGCAAGUAUGUGGGCCACAUUUUUUUUUCCAGUCCUGCACUAAGUUGCAUCAUUAGGUCUAUUAAAGCUUUUGAAAAUACUGCCGUCCUUUAUGGGGAAAAGGCUAAUUACUGAUUUUUCUGCCUUCAAAAUCCAAGAGUUAAUUCCAAUUGAGUGCUAACAAUAGGUAGUCAACACAGAGAACUAAAAUUUACCUCAAGAUGUCACUGUGUCUAUUUCUCAUAUUAGAUUCUCGUUUUUCUAAUUAAAGCAUUUAUUUAGCCAGUAACAAACUAUGUCUGUAUAUAUGUGUGUGUAUACAUUAUACAUUCGUAUAGAUUUAAAUGUAUACAUACACAUAUAUAUAAAGUUGUUCUGGUUCUUAAUUAGUGAUGAUACAUUCUAUUAUGUAUUUGGAAUGUCUACCCUACUAGUGUGAUGACCAUUGUCAUAAAAGCAGAAUUAAAAAAAAAAAAGUUAGCCAAUAGUUUUCCUUUGGUAAUUACAAGAAAACCCUCUUAAGUUGACCUCAUGUCAUUCUUCUAAUUAAUAAAUUCAGCUUCUAAAUUGUGUCCAUAAUUUCUUAGCUGACAAACAGUGGUGUUUGAAGAUCGUUUUCUUCUCUGGGUGGCUCAUUAUGUGCCCAACAUGCCAGGAGGAAAGGUAAACAGGUGUCCCUCGCAGGUACUGUCGAGAAGAGAUCUGGCCCGAAAGCAAGCAGGAGCCACGCGGGCCAGGAUGGAGCCGUGGCCAGGUGACCCCCGCAGCAGGUGGCAGGAGCGGUGGCCUGUCAUCACAUGGUUGCAUUUUAGUUCAUUCUCUUUGGAAGCCACAGGAGUUUAGCAGUGACAUCGUGUGCCCGACAGAAGGCAGCUCGAGACAGGGACAUGGAUGACCUCAGAGCUGCAGCUCGAGACUCAAGUAGGAUUUUGUAAAUGAGUAAAUGACAUUUUUUCCCCCUGGGUUCCUUGUACUAGUCUAUGAGUCCCUGUGAUCUAGUGAUGCCGUUCUUCGGAAAGUGUCGCCUCCAGCACCUGGCCAGCUUCAUCUGGGCUGCUGGAAGCACAGUAGGUACGGAUGGUUCUUUCCUGGAAAUCUUGACAGGCUUAUUGUACUGUGUAAUUGGGCAAAGUUAAAGUGUAAUGUAGGUGUUAAUAAGUGACUGAUGUGAAAAAUAGGAACAUGUGUCUCUAAUAUCAAAUAUGGCUUUUUUGGGGGCAGUGAAAUCUAUAUUCCUCGUCCUGUGGUAGUAUUUUCUUGCUCUGUGUUGUACCUUUUCUUAAACACAUUAUUCUUGACAGUGGCAUUGGACAAGUUGAACACAAUAGAAAGUGCUUGACUUAAAGACAUCAGUUGAGAAACCAUGAUAAAUUAGUCUUCGUCUGCAAGUAUGAAAGUAAAUUUAAAAAACCAUGGUCCAGAAGAGAACAAAUAUUCAUAAGUGGGUUUUUUUUCCUACUGCUCAUUUUUAAGUAUGUUUACAUCCAGUCUCUGAGAGCUAUAAAGUCUGCAUUGUUUUCCCAGGUUCUUCUUUAUUUAACUAAGAAAUCAUAGUUCAGAUUCCUCUUGAUGCCAGAUGGAAUGAGAAAUGUUACAAUUUUUGUUAAAAGGGCAAUUUUUUAAGCAUUCAGUUUGGUAAUCAUGUAUCUUAUGUAUUUAAAUUAGAUUUUUCUUUGCUCACCACUUAUAUGCUAUGGGUAUUUUUUUAAAAAUGUAUUAUGCUCUGGAUGUCUCAGAUCACCUUAUGUAAUGGAUUAUAAAGGCUGGUAACGGUCAUUCCUCAAACCUGUGUAUGAUAUUGGCAACAGUUUUAAUGUUGCUACCUUUUAAAUAUCAUGUAUUAUUAAUGCACCUCAUGUUUUCAGGGAAAGCUUGAAAUCUAGCUAAACAAAUAGGAAUUUGCAUUUCAUCAUUCAUGCAUUUUUUUCCUCAUAAAAAUAGUUUCUCAAAAAAGUGACAUAUUGUCUCUUAGGUGGUCCCGACCAGUUUCAAAGCUCUCCUCUCGCUCCUCAGUGGCAUUUUGCCUCUUCAGUCUCAAAGUCUUUGUUGUGGUCAAACCAUCCAAUCCACAAAAGAGUGGGAAAGUUGUUUCCAAUACUGGGAAUUUUUAAACCCUCAAGUCUGAAAAUAUCUCUUAUUGGCUUCAAUAUCUUCAAUUUUUUUCCCCCUUCCUUACUCUAGUCCCUCUAAGGAGCAAGCCUAAAGCGUGGGGUCAUGAAGCCACUAUUUCUUCCAGUCUCACUUUGGUUCCUCCUACACAGGUGACCUUCCGCCACUCUGCACAGCACCACCCCUGUUCCUCUUCCCCACCGGAGCCGCUCUCUGCUAUUCAUAGGACAUCCCAACACAUCUUUUCCAAUAGGGACACGAUCCUCAGAUCACAGAUCUUGCCUGUCAGCAUAGAAGCAUGCCCCAACACCACCCCUACCCCCCCACCCCCCAUGAGCAAACAGCUCUGCCCAACUCACAUUUUCCUGUGUCACAGGCUGCCGAGAGAUAAGGCCACAGGUCCACCUAGGGAAGCAUUUGUCGUGGGCUUUGCUAAACCAUGUUCAUUCUUACCCACAUCCUUCAUGAGAAUGGUGGGCACUCGGCGGCUGUGGGAGAGAAUGUCAAAAAGUUCUACUGAGGACUCCAGCGCACAGUUACAGAAAAAUUCGCCCCACACUCUAACUGGGUAAGCUCACUGCACCCCCCCCACACACAAUAUAUUGAGACUGCCCGGUGUCUCCUAAGUUCCAGGGCAGUUAAAUCCUUGGAAUAACCCACCAGUACUUCACUGCAAAGUAGGAGGAUGCUGACUCUUUUGAGGAAAAACUCUUUCUUAAAAAAUUCAUCACUUAUAAAAUAAGCUGAGUGUGACUUCUUUUAGCCAUGGAGCCAUUGUCCCCGUUCCCUCGGGAAACAGUGCCUCUGAAUUGAAUGUUCAAGCAUCUAGCUGUGGAGUUACCAAAGAAUAAUUGAAUAAUUUGGCCAUUUGUAGACUGUCUGACAUUUGAAGCAAGAACCCAGAUCCCUUUUAAGCACUCGCAUAGGUGGAUGGGUGAUGCAGUGGCUCAUGGUCUCACUUUCUAUGCAGCUAAGGAUCCAGGAUGUGUUUAGUUUUUUUUUUGGUUUGUUUUGUUUUUUUGUUUUUAACCUCACUCUCUAAGUCAUCAUAGUUAAUUAUUUGGGUGGGUAUUCUUGAGUGUAAUUUCCCCCCCAAGAUAAUAGAACUGGCAUUUGCUCAUUCUCUUCACACAUUUAAUUUUCAGCAGUUCAACUAGUGUUAGGGACCCUCACUGGGACAGUUAAGGCUAGAAGAAAGACCAGUCCUGGCCCCAGAGCCUACACUCUAACUAUACUAUCUGGUUUUGUUUUGUUUGUUAACAAGUUGAAAACUAGGAGUUUAAAACCAACUUUUUUCCCUUCUUAAGCUGAAGGGAAAGUUUUAAUUUUAGCUCCCCAUUUAAGCAAUGAAGACUGCCUUGAAAGACAGCAGUGUCCUUCCCUCGGUGAAGAGGCUAAAACCAAAAGCCAAGUCUGUCUCUGAAUAUUCCUUUGACACAUUUUUAUCUAUUUUUAAUGUAAAAUCCAUAAAUGAAUCUGACAUGGUCUUCAUGACUUACCUCUAGGCCUGCUUGCCUUUAUUUAUUUAUUUUGGAACUUAUUUUUUGAAUAUAGGCUUUUCUUAUUAUUUCCCAGAGCGAUCCUAGAAACGAUUCUGAUGGGCUACCCCAUGACUGCCUCCUGGUGUCCUGGAAGUUUGGCAGCAGUGUCAGCAGGGCUUACCUCUUAGGGAGAAGCAUCUGAAAAAUGCCAGAUAAGCUGAGUUUUAUGUACAAGUCAACAAGCAUUUGAGAAAUGCUUUAUGCCUCAGAUUUUGACAUUUAAAUUUUUUUUCCCCAAGUACCAGCUACUAUUUGACUUGGAGGGGUUGGCAAGCAGGACAGGGAUUAGACAUAAAAUAUGAACUAAGUGGCAUAGGCAAGACUUCCCACCCCUAUGUCUCCAUGUGCAUGUGUCUCUGGAAAAUAUAUUGUCCCCGCUCCCUGUCUACCACUUUGAGUUGCUUAAGGAGCAAACUGUAAGUGUGUAGAAAUGAAAAAGCUGACCUCAAAGACAUAAGUUAUUUUUAGAUAUUUUCUUUGUAAACUUAGGAAUAAGCCUGGUUUAUGAAUUGCAUAAUAUGGCUACUACAGCUAUAAUCUGGAGGUAACUAGAUACAUCCUUUCAAAUAUGUUUCCCUUACAAACCUAACUUUGUUGUAACUGGGAAAAGAAACUCCUUGUUUAAAAAAAAAAAAAAGCCAACAAAAAGACUUCAGUAAAAGAAUGUGGCAUCAGUCUAUCCUCUGUCCCACAGUGCUUGUUUCUUGCCUAUAAUAUAGUUUUUCAACAAUUUUUAUGGGAGAAAAAAAUGCACAUUUUUUUCUUGGAAAAGUGAAUUGAGGUAUUGAAUUAAAUUCUCCGAGAGGACAACCUAAAGAGAAACAUGGGAUUUAGAGAUGAGCUCACAGCUCUGUGGUCACUGUUCCAGCAUUGACUUUACUGUGUGACCUUGAACAAAUGAUUUAACGACUCUGUGCCUCAAUUUCUCCAUGUACAAAAUGGGGAUCAUGAUACCAACCAUUGCCUACCUCAUAUGGAUGUUAUGGGGACAAAUAAGAUAAUAUAAAUACAAAUGCUUUGAUCUCUGGAAGAAAGGUGCUAUAUAAAUUAAAGUUGUGUUGUUUUUAAUGAUCCAAUUAUUAUGUUUAAGGUUUAAAUAAUAGCAAUACUGUUAGUCAUGUUAAGAAUAAGUUUCAAUUCAACACAUAAUUACAAUUCUCUUCUGUGGCCAAAUCUUGAUCGUUCAUCCAGUAAUGGUACGUAAGGAACUGAAAUGGGUUUUUUUUUUCUGUGUGUUUCUGCCCAAUAGUAUUUCUAUUCUAAAUGUUCCCAAAAGGCUGGAGUUUAACUUGUGAUAUCUUAUAGUUUACAUG
rnacentral:lncRNA from 1 species